AUUGAACGCUGGCGGCAGGCUUAACACAUGCAAGUCGAGCGAGCGGCGGACGGGUGAGUAAUGUCUGGGAAACUGCCUGAUGGAGGGGGAUAACUACUGGAAACGGUAGCUAAUACCGCAUACCAUUGGAUGUGCCCAGAUGGGAUUAGCUAGUAGGUGGGGUAAAGUCUCACCUAGGCGACGAUCCCUAGCGGGUCUGAGAGGAUGACCAGCCACACUGGCAAUGAGACACGGUCCAGAGUCCUACGGGAGGCAGAAGUGGGGAAUAUUGCACAUUGGGCGCAAGCCUGAUGCAGACAUGCCGCGUGGAUGAAGAAGGCCUUCGGGUUGUAAAGUACUUUCAGCGGGGAGGCGUUACCCGCAGAAGAAGCACCGGCUAACUCCGUGCCAGCAGCCGCGGUAAUAC
rnacentral:rRNA from 1 species